AUCUUCCGCAAUGGACGAAAGUCUGACGGAGCAACGCCGCGUGAGUGAGGAAGGCCUUCGGGUCGUAAAGCUCUGUUGCCAGGGAAGAACGGGUAGGAGAGUCACUGCUCUUGCCAUGACGGUACCUGAGAAGAAAGCCCCGGCUAACUACGUGCCAGCAGCCGCGAUAAUACGUAGGGGGCAAGCGUUGUCCGGAAUUAUUGGGCGUAAAGAGCGCGCAGGCGGCUUUGUAAGUCUUGUGUUUAAACGUGGGGCUCAACCCCAUGUCGCAUGGGAAACUGCAAGGCUUGAGUGCAGAAGAGGAAAGUGGAAUUCCACGUGUAGCGGUGAAAUGCGUAGAGAUGUGGAGGAACACCAGUGGCGAAGGCGACUUUCUGGGCUGUAACUGACGCUGAGGCGCGAAAGCGUGGGGAGCAAACAGG
rnacentral:rRNA from 1 species